UAACUUGACAAAGUAACUUGCAACAUAUUGUGGAAAGAAACUUAUUAUAUCUUAUAAAAAAAAUUUGAAAGUAUCAGGUAAACGGUUAGAUAGUUUUUAUGAAUUUUCGCAAAAUUUUGUUAUUGGACUUUUUUUCAGAUUAGUUUUGCUUUAAAAUUCGGAUGAAAUAAAAUGUGAUGACUGAUGAAGUGAUGAGGGACAAAGCUUUUUUAAUUUCUGCGAUGGGUGCUUGACGAAAAAAGCUUUGUGUUUAGCGCUGUUCUUCAUCACGAUGAUGAGGAUGAGUAGAUUACACCUUGCUUUGCGAAUGGGUUACGUUUAUUAAUGUUAUUAUUUCUUUGUGGAUGAAGUUAAUUAGUGUUAGUGUGCGAAGACGCAGCAGAGAGCUUCUUUCGGAAUUAGCUUUGACCCUUUGUAGUGGUGCUAAGGGAUGUAACGAGGGAAAAGUGGUGUUUGUCCGUGCAAGGAACGGGCCUAUACAAGGCCGGCAGCUUUGUUUUUGUCUCGUAAUUUUUCCGUUGUCCAGCAUACUCUAUCAGUAACGGGUUUUGCUCUCGUAACUCCAAGCGGUGUAAUAAUACCAAUGCAUAUGUAAUCAGAAUAAGAACGGAGACGGCCUUCGGAGUAAAGGUAUUGGGAGGUGAGUGCUACUAUCGCCGAUAAAUAUCACAAACAUGUGUAUAUAACUGUGCACGACGUGGAUAAAUAUUUUAUUACAAUGCACACAAUAGGUCGUGUUUUGGCAUAUUGUUUAUUUUUCUCCGCUGAAAAUGCCACUCGAUAUCCGCUCCGCUUGCAUCCACAAUUAAUGUCAAGCAGUUGCAUUAUCUCGAACAUUGAGAUAGGUUGCGAUGCCGCAGGUCGCGGAAAAUCACCUGAGAAACAAUAACCUCAUUGCUUCGAAUCCUGUUUGUUUAUUUUUAUCGCAACUUUGUUUUCUCCGAAAUCUUUAGCCGCACUCACUUCAAGUGCUAAUCUCUGAUUACGAACGAUUGGAAUUAACAAGUUGAUUUAGUGCUUUUGUAUGUACGCUCGUAUAUCCCAAGCAAAAUAGAGGAAAAACGGAAACUGAAAAAAGUGCAAUUAUUCCAGAGAAAUGUUUCCGCUUUACACUUACCGACGUUAUUAUUUCUCAUUAGUGAAUAAUGAAUAAUAAAAGCUUUGUGAAUUUAA